rnacentral:lncRNA from 1 species
CAUAGCUUCCAACAAGCCCCCCCCCACCUCUGAGGAUGCACCCCAAAGCUAGAGAAUUCCUGCUCUGAGCCAUCUCUGAAAGCACCAAGAGCCAGCUCACGGAGGAGAUGCCAGCUCACGGAGGAAAAUCUGGAAGGUGUUGAAGCAUAGACGCUGGAACAUAAAAUGACUCAUGAUCUCACUGGGAGAAGGGCUGGGAACAUCGUGGGCUCUCUUCUCCCCGCGCUCCUCUCUCCGGGUCUCUGUUUCCCUCAUUCCACGAUGUUUGGAACCAUCGGCGCACUACAUCAGACUAGAGGUCUGGGGUCACCCGACCAUCCCGCCACAAGCCCCUCCGAGGCAUCACUGUGUCCAGAUUUUGCAAACUGCACCUCCUGAAGGGGCUGGGGUCUGUCCACUUCGCCCCAUCUGCCGUGGCAGCACUUCCUCCGUGGUUCGCACCCCCACAGCAGCCUCCUGGGAAGGCACCUCCCUGGGGCCCCUCUCAGUCCACGGUGUGGAUAUGGUCAGGAAGAUUCCUGCAGCUGCUGAGUUAGUACUUUUAAGAAAGUACUGGAUUCCCUCUCACAAUGGGACUUUGAUUUUUUUAAGAAAAAGGUUUCAUAAGUUUUCAAAUAACCUGGAGCAGUUGAGCAAACUUAAUGUGCAGCGUGGUCCCUGCUGGCUGGGUUUGAGGGGCUGGGUCUCUCUGAGUGGAUGCUGGUGAGGUGCAGAGGAAGAAGAAAAGGUGCCUGAGGGCCUGUGUGGAAGGCCUGUCACACAGCACAUCCUGGGAAAUCUGUCCAGGAAGCAGCCAGGCGGGCAUCAGCCAGGCGGGCAUCAGCAUCUUCACUGUGCAGAUGAGAAACUGAGGCCGCAGAGCGUUUCAGCAUCUCUAUAAAACCCUCACAGGUGAUCCCUAGAAACACAGCCAGUGGCCCGGAAGCUGCACUGUUUUGUGCACCGCAGGGAUGGGCACAGAUGGGGCUGCCUGCCCUCCUCCUGGAAGGAGGGAGAACCCAGUCUGGCCUGGAGUGGUCAAGAGCUAACUCUAGACUCAGCAAGACCUACUUCUCUCUCCUGCCCCUACUUCCUUGCUGCUGACCUGGGCAAGUCGCUGAAGCCUCUCCGUGCCUCAGUCUGCUCGUGCGUAAGAUGGGCACAGGGCACACUGCCUACUUGAUUGGGCUCAACCACGUGCAGUAAGUAGCUGGUGUCUGGCAAGAGCCCUCAGGAAACAGUAACCCCAUUAAUUCAAAUGCACGUGCCUGGAACAGGCUCUGGGGGGCCAGCCCGGGAGUCCCACUCCAUGAUGGCCACCCUGGGGCCUGGCAGGCUGGGCUGGCAUCCCAGGCCCACCGGAUACUGGCUGUGCACCCCGGCCAGGCCACACAUCUCUGAGCCUCACUUUCCCGUGUGUGAGAUGAGGCUAGAAGCUGCUUUCUCUUGCGUGUGUGGGGAUUGGCGGUGACAACACGGCCAGGAGCCCAGGCCCAGCCUACGCGAGCAGCCUCGCUCCAGGCCACACGCCCCACUCCUGACAGCUCUGUGCAGCGAGUUCGUGCGCGAGCGGGUGGCUGUCUGCCAGGCGAGGGGCGCGGGUGCCCAAGAGGGCUUCACUGCUUCUGGAAAGAUCACAAGGAAAAACCACCUCCGCGGCGGGACGCUACCCGCGGGCCGCUGCGGUCCCGCUCGCGGCCGGCAGGGGGCAGGAUGUCCCCGCGAGUCGCCCGUGUCUUCGGGUGUCCUCAGGUCACCCCGCACCGCUCGCAGCCUCCGCGCCUAGUUAAAGGGCGACGCACUCAUUUCUGCAAAGAAGGAGCCCAGCGGCCCCUCCCCGGGGAACUCUUUCCAUCAACUCGGGGCCUAAUAAUUUACAUUUAAUUUGUUAGCGGUUUAAUGUUUAAUUUUAAAAGCGAGAUGAUUCAUUACCAUAUUAAUAAAUAAUAACAUUUAUUAUUCUCCUAAUGAGUGUCCAAAAUACAGAAGCAAUUACAUGUUUUAUAUAUUUUCUCGUAAUUUGAGACACCAGAGCGUUAAUUACAGAGACUCACGCGUGGACCCCAUUCUGAUCCAGGGUCCUGAUCCUGCCUUUGUUUCGGUCUCUGAACCAGCCGCCCUCCGGGGCUUCUGCAAUUCCCUCAAUUAGAGGAGAGGAAGUCGUACGUGACGAAGCUGGGGCUCUCACAGAACCCCGGCGCCCCAGACCCAGGAGCUGCAAGACCUCAGCUCCCCGUGCCCACACUCGGAGACCCAGGCCCCUCCCAGUCCCCCGU